rnacentral:SRP_RNA from 1 species
CUAUGCUACACGGGGAGCUAGCGGUGCCCUGUAACCUGAAAUCCGCUUUAGCAGGGUGGAAUGCCAGGCAGAGGAUUUGGUCGGGGAUAAUAGGUUAAAUCGGAAGCGAUGACGCUUUCAGUUUUGCGCAAUGGAAAAUUAUCAAACCCCGUCAGGUCCGGAAGGAAGCAGCGGUAGAUAACCCUUUCUAUGUGCCGCAAAAUCAGCGAAAGCCAGCCGACGACUUUAACCGAAUAUCCCUGGACGGAUUCAAUGCCUGGUGCAUAG